AUUAAUAUAUAUUUAUAUUUAAAGGUAUUUCUUGAUAAUCUGAAUGUAGUAUUUUGACGUUUACGUAGUUCCAUUCAUCAUGAAAAACAAUAAAUUAUUGCUAGUAAAUAUCGAAAAAUAUAUUUUUUUUUGUUUCCUUGUAUAUUGUAAUUAUUAUAAAAUAAUAUGCAUUUUUAUGCCCCUUACCAAUCAGGACGAUUAUUAAGGGGCGGAGCCAGUUCCAACCAUGGGCUGUACCCACACUCGUGUAGGGGGCCAGAUGAAGUACGAGGAUCGCUGAGCCGGGACAAAAGUUUUCAGGAGAUGCCCUACUCGGAUCCUUCUGCGUGGCAUGCCAGCACAUUACCACCCAGCCAUCCGGCCGCACGAUGUGCUAUAUUUUGAUAAAGAUCAUAUUAUAAUCGAGCAUGAAUUAUAUACUUGACAAUAUGGCGACGAUAUUCGAGAAAUUUAUUAAACAAAAUCCGAUUCUCAUAAUAUAAAAACAUUGUAUCUAAAGGAAAUGAAUUUUCAUAAAAAUUUGUCAAGUUUAUCUGGGUUUAUAAACUAUUUCGCCAUAACUGAUUUAAAUUUAAAAAAAAAAGCCUCAAGCAUGCACAUCUCCC
rnacentral:lncRNA from 1 species